GCACUGGUGGCUCAGAGGUAGAAUUCACACCUUCUGUGCAGGAGACCCGGGUUCUAUUCCUGGCCAGUGCA
rnacentral:tRNA from 1 species